rnacentral:tRNA from 1 species
GCAUCCCUAGCUCAAUUGGCAGAGCAACUGACUCUUAAUCAGUGGGUUCCCGGUUCAAGUCCGGGGGGGUGCACCA